rnacentral:rRNA from 1 species
AGGAUAAAGAUGGGCUUGCGGAACAUUAGCUAGUUGGUAAGGUAAUGGCUUACCAAGGCUACGAUGUUUAGGGGAUCUGAGAGGAUGACUCCCCACACUGUACUGAGACACGGACCAGACUCCUACGGGAGGCAGCAGUAAGGAAUAUUGGUCAAUGGGCGCAAGCCUGAACCAGCCAUGCCGCGUGCAGGAAGACGGCCCUACGGGUUGUAAACUUGCUUUUGCAGGGGAAUAAACCCCCGUACGUGUACGGGGCUGAAUGUACUCUGAGAAUAAGGAUCGGCUAACUCCGUGCCAGCAGCCGCGGUAAAUUACGGAGGAUCCAAGCGUUAUCCGGAUUUAUUGGGUUUAAAGGGUGCGUAGCGGUUAUUAAGUCAGGGGUGAAAGGCGGUACUUAAUAUCGGAGUGCCCUUGAUACUGAUGACUUGAAUGCAGCUGAGG